CGUGGGUAAAUACUAUUUACUUAACCAAUUAUGGAAGAAUAAACAUUGCUGCACACAUUUCACUUGACCCAGCAGAUAAAAUCCAUCUUGCCAUUUCUCUGUCCCUUAGGUGUCAGACAACUUGAGUAUAGCUGUUGGGUAAUACGGUUAUUUCCAAGGAAAACCGAGAGACUGGGACCACUAUCUUAUAGGUUCUCUGUUUAGCGCCUGUGUAGCAACCCGAUCAUACAAACAAAGAAAAGAAGAAAGCUAAAGAGAGAUCAGAAGUAGUGAGGGGAAGAGAGGAAAAACGAGGCAUUUUAAAGUUGUUGAGGCAGAAAAGAAACCAGGAAUGAAGAUAUACAAGAAUGAACUUGUAAGAAUUCCAGGUGGCAGAAAACAAGUCUGGAAUCAAAGUACGAUGGAUUGAUGUGGAAGAUUUGGGAAUUGGGCAGAUUGCAUCAGAAAAACCUCAAGAUUCUUCAUGCUGGCCUGCGGAGUCCCUAACUAAGCCAGAAGCGUUGUGGAACGCUGCUGAUCGGGUCUGGGUGUCCCCGACUCCCACCUCACAUUGCCCGAGACGACAUCUUUGACACGCCUAGAGCUCCAAUUUGGAUCUUCUCAGCUCAGUUUGGUUCAGGUGAAAUUUCUCCCGACCAAAUUCCCUGACACCCAGUGAUUAUACCUCUGAAGCGGCCAAGCCCACAGCACACAGGAAGCAACAGUGACGUGCCCUGGAGAAGACACAGGUGCUACUGAACGGAGACGAGCCCAGCGCCCUUGUUCUCCUUCAGGACGCGGAGGGAGAAGAGGGUCCCUAAUGCCAUCUGGACCGUCGUGGAGAAUCACUCUCACGUGCCUUCCAUCCAGGCAGUGCCUCCAGGGCCAGGCCUUCACGACCCCGAACCACCUGUAUCCACCCUAUUCAGGCUACAAGCUCUGUGUGCACAGGGUGUGCACUAGGCACUCAGGAAAUGCCCACUGAAUGAAUGAGUCUGAUCAACUCUGGAGGCAGUAGCAGAAGCACCGGCACAGCAGAGUCUGGUGGAGGACAGCAAUGGUUCAAAGUGGAGACGUUAGAAAAAUGUCUCUGCAGAUCAGCAGAAGUCAGGGGAAACUACAGGAGUCAUUUUCAGGACAGAUUUCUCCGUAUGGAAUCAGCCUGCCGCCACCAAUGCAAUCAGUGGACUUUGGACAAAAUCAAAGCCAUCAGCUAGACCAAGACAGCUCUCUGGUUAAGAUCAAGGCAAAGGCCCUCACCCAAUAGACAUCUGUAUGAAUUGCUGUCUGGGGAAGAAUGAAACACUCCAUUCUGUUUUGUCUUGGUGUUUCCACCUGUUUAAGAGUAAUAAUGCAAAGGCAGCAAGGACAGGCACAUUACAUUUUGGAUACUUUUCCCCCUAGCUCAUUCAGCUGCCCUGAGUCUAAAGAUAAAGACGGUACGCCGAGAACUAGAAAAAUGGAACAGGGGAAGCCAAGGCAUGUCCUUACCU